ACCUAGAAGACAUGUGUGGUCUUCUUUAGUUUGAUGUACUCUUCGCUUCUGUCGCUGAAGAAGCGAAGGGGAUGGAGGAAGAAAACUGAGAUAUUGGCUGUGGGGUUGUGGAUUUGUGUUCUCUGACUCAAUAUCCCCUUGUAUUCCUCAUGCACUCACGAAACACCUUGCCCUGAAAUUUCAAAAGUGGAAAUCGAGUGGCGGAUCAACAUUGGAAGGAACCCAAACUAACCUAUUCAACGAGAAAUAUUGAGGUGUGAAGUUAGUAUACGAGAUGAAGAAUAUCCACAUCAUCUGUAUUGGUAGUGUGCCAUUCUGAUUUUUGUUCCUGUCGGAUUUGCAGAUAGGUGCAGCGGGAGUGAUAGAAGUAGUGAGGUGUGAAGUUAGUAUACGAGAUAUAGGUGCUCCACACCAUGUGUAUUGUUGCGUAAACCUUCUCUGAUCACUUGAAGAUGGGGAAGAAAAAUCCAAAUGCACGUCGGUUUGCCUCAAGCGAACGUGCCCCGUCACUGGAUGUAACAAACUCACCUCUAAAUGCAAAUGCAGAGAGUAGUUCUGCUGCUCGACAGAAAGGUAACCAAUCAUGGUACACCAGAUUGUCUGAUGAAAAGAAAGCAGAGCUCCUCGAGAAGCGUCGUGUCGCCCGGCGUGAGAAGAAGACUGCAGCCGUACAAAGUGUAAACCAUGCCCGGGUAUCACAAGAACAUGCUUCUUCUGUGGGGUCUGAGCAAUUUGUCCCUUUGAGCAACAUCACCAACACACAUAUAGAUGUUGCAGUAUGUACGGCGGCAAGCUCCGCGGGUACUGCUCAUCUUCACCAAAACAAUAUUGCAGGCAAAAAAAGAAGUCCACAAAGUUGGUAUGCUGGACUAUCCGACGAGCGGCGAGCUGAGUACAUACACAAACAGAAGAUGGCCCGACUCGCAAGGAAAGCAGCAACUGCCGGGGUGAAUGUCCAAUUGCCUACAUCAUCUGCCUCGCAAACUUCAUCUGGUCCUUCUGUGUGUCGCUGCUGUCAGUCUCGGGCUUACUGCUUGGAGAACAGGAGGAGCGUCAGGGCUCUUUGCUGCAUCUGUGGGGGUACUGGCCAGAAGUAGGUUAUUGUUAUCCAUGUAUCACACAAGCUGAGGUGGUCACCUUUGAUCUAAUACCCGCGAGUCUUCUAUAUUGUCUUCAUCCUAUUCGUGCUAAAACAUACUCAGGGGCGAUCGCCUACCUGAACGAUUAAAUGGAUCAAUAUUCUGGACAUUACAAGCUGGGCCAGAGUGGGCCAUAUGGAGGUACAUCAAACAUAGGAAGGGUGGACAGGAGCAGGCACAAAAGGACCUACACCAAUGUACAAGGGGAUCAUGAUCUAGGAGAAGCGAGGCCUGGACGACAGGUGGUAGAGCAGCAUGCCUAAGAGAAGCACAAGUUACCACUACUAUUCAGCAAAUGACACAACCAGAUAUUUAUGGAUUUUCCUUAACUGUAAUGACUUCAUUUGUUCUUGAAAUGGAGAAUCUUAUGUAUGUCUCUUGUAAUUGCUAGUAAUGAGAUAUAUAAGUCUUUUCCCCUUCAGUUCAGAUUUACAAUAUACUAGCAAAUAACUUUCC